ACUAAGCGUACACGGUGGAUGCCUAGGCAGUCAGAGGCGAUGAAGGGCGUGCUAAUCUGCGAAAAGCGUCGGUAAGGUGAUAUGAACCGUUACAACCGGCGAUACCCGAAUGGGGAAACCCAGUGUGUUUCGACACACUAUCAUGUCAUGAAUACAUAGUGGCAUGAGGCGAACCGGGGGAACUGAAACAUCUAAGUACCCCGAGGAAAAGAAAUCAACCGAGAUUCCCCCAGUAGCGGCGAGCGAACGGGGAGGAGCCCAGAACCUGAAUCGGCUUGUGUGUUAGUGGAAGCGUCUGGAAAGUCGCGCAGCAAAGGGUGAUAGCCCCGUACACUAAAAUGCACAGGUCGUGAGUUCGAUGAGUAGGGCGGGACACGUGACAUCCUGUCUGAAUAUGGGGGGACCAUCCUCCAAGGCUAAAUACUCCUGACUGACCGAUAGUGAACCAGUACCGUGAGGGAAAGGCGAAAAGAACCCCGGCGAGGGGAGUGAAAUAGAACCUGAAACCGUGUACGUACAAGCAGUGGGAGCACCUUCGUGGUGUGACUGCGUACCUUUUGUAUAAUGGGUCAGCGACUUAUAUUUUGUAGCAAGGUUAACCGUAUAGGGGAGCCGUAGGGAAACCGAGUCUUAACUGGGCGAAUAGUUGCAAGGUAUAGACCCGAAACCCGGUGAUCUAGCCAUGGGCAGGUUGAAGGUUGGGUAACACUAACUGGAGGACCGAACCGACUAAUGUUGAAAAAUUAGCGGAUGACUUGUGGCUGGGGGUGAAAGGCCAAUCAAACCGGGAGAUAGCUGGUUCUCCCCGAAAGCUAUUUAGGUAGCGCCUCGUGAACUCAUCUUCGGGGGUAGAGCACUGUUUCGGCUAGGGGGCCAUCCCGGCUUACCAAACCGAUGCAAACUCCGAAUACCGAAGAAUGUUAUCACGGGAGACACACGGCGGGUGCUAACGUCCGUCGUGAAGAGGGAAACAACCCAGACCGCCAGCUAAGGUCCCAAAGUCAUGGUUAAGUGGGAAACGAUGUGGGAAGGCAUAGACAGCCAGGAUGUUGGCUUAGAAGCAGCCAUCAUUUAAAGAAAGCGUAAUAGCUCACUGGUCGAGUCGGCCUGCGCGGAAGAUGUAACGGGGCUAAACCAUGCACCGAAGCUGCGGCAGCGACGCUUAGGCGUUGUUGGGUAGGGGAGCGUUCUGUAAGCCGUUGAAGGUGGCCUGUGAGGGUUGCUGGAGGUAUCAGAAGUGCGAAUGCUGACAUAAGUAACGAUAAAGCGGGUGAAAAGCCCGCUCGCCGGAAGACCAAGGGUUCCUGUCCAACGUUAAUCGGGGCAGGGUGAGUCGACCCCUAAGGCGAGGCUGAAAAGCGUAGUCGAUGGGAAACAGGUUAAUAUUCCUGUACUUGGUGUUACUGCGAAGGGGGGACGGAGAAGGCUAGGCUAGCCGGGCGACGGUUGUCCCGGUUUAAGCGUGUAGGGGGUGUGACCUGGUAAAUCCGGUUGCAUAUCAACCCUGAGGCGUGAUGACGAUGCACUACGGUGCAGAAGUAGUUGAUGCCCUGCUUCCAGGAAAAGCCUCUAAGCUCCAGGUAACAUUAAAUCGUACCCCAAACCGACACAGGUGGUCAGGUAGAGAAUACCAAGGCGCUUGAGAGAACUCGGGUGAAGGAACUAGGCAAAAUGGUGCCGUAACUUCGGGAGAAGGCACGCUGGCAUGUAGGUGAAGUCCCUUGCGGAUGGAGCUGAAGCCAGUCGAAGAUACCAGCUGGCUGCAACUGUUUAAUAAAAACACAGCACUGUGCAAACACGAAAGUGGACGUAUACGGUGUGACGCCUGCCCGGUGCUGGAAGGUUAAUUGAUGGGGUCAGCCGCAAGGCGAAGCUCUUGAUCGAAGCCCCAGUAAACGGCGGCCGUAACUAUAACGGUCCUAAGGUAGCGAAAUUCCUUGUCGGGUAAGUUCCGACCUGCACGAAUGGCGUAAUGAUGGCCAGGCUGUCUCCACCCGAGACUCAGUGAAAUUGAACUCGCUGUGAAGAUGCAGUGUACCCGCGGCAAGACGGAAAGACCCCGUGAACCUUUACUAUAGCUUGACACUGAACAUUGAGCCUUGAUGUGUAGGAUAGGUGGGAGGCUUUGAAGCGUGGACGCCAGUCUGCGUGGAGCCAUCCUUGAAAUACCACCCUUUAAUGUUUGAUGUUCUAACUCGGCCCCAUAAUCUGGGGUGAGGACAGUGUCUGGUGGGUAGUUUGACUGGGGCGGUCUCCUCCCAAAGAGUAACGGAGGAGCACGAAGGUUAGCUAAUCACGGUCGGACAUCGUGAGGUUAGUGCAAAGGCAUAAGCUAGCUUGACUGCGAGAGUGACGGCUCGAGCAGGUACGAAAGUAGGUCUUAGUGAUCCGGUGGUUCUGAAUGGAAGGGCCAUCGCUCAACGGAUAAAAGGUACUCCGGGGAUAACAGGCUGAUACCGCCCAAGAGUUCAUAUCGACGGCGGUGUUUGGCACCUCGAUGUCGGCUCAUCACAUCCUGGGGCUGAAGUAGGUCCCAAGGGUAUGGCUGUUCGCCAUUUAAAGUGGUACGCGAGCUGGGUUUAGAACGUCGUGAGACAGUUCGGUCCCUAUCUGCCGUGGGCGUUGGAAGAUUGAGAGGGGUUGCUCCUAGUACGAGAGGACCGGAGUGAACGCACCACUGGUGUUCGGGUUGUCAUGCCAAUGGCAUUGCCCGGUAGCUAAGUGCGGAAAAGAUAAGCGCUGAAAGCAUCUAAGCGCGAAACUUGCCUCAAGAUGAGUCUUCCCUGGGCCUUUAAGGCCCCUGAAGGAACGUUUAAGACUAAGACGUUGAUAGGCUGGGUGUGUAAGUGCAGCGAUGCAUUGAGCUAACCAGUACUAAUGAUCCGUGAGGCUUAACC
rnacentral:rRNA from 1 species